rnacentral:rRNA from 1 species
CCGUGAUCUUAGCGGCGGAGAGUGAGUCCGAGGAGGAAUCUGCCUAUUAGUGGGGGACAACAUUCCGAAAGGAAUGCUAAUACCGCAUACGUCCUACGGGAGAAAGCAGGGGAUCUUCGGACCUUGCGCUAAUAGAUGAGCCUAAGUCGGAUUAGCUAGUUGGUGGGGUAAAGGCCUACCAAGGCGACGAUCUGUAGCGGGUCUGAGAGGAUGAUCCGCCACACUGGGACUGAGACACGGCCCAGACUCCUACGGGAGGCAGCAGUGGGGAAUAUUGGACAAUGGGGGGAACCCUGAUCCAGCCAUGCCGCGUGUGUGAAGAAGGCCUUAUGGUUGUAAAGCACUUUAAGCGAGGAGGAGGCUACUGAGACUAAUACUCUUGGAUAGUGGACGUUACUCGCAGAAUAAGCACCGGGCUAACUCUGUGCCAGCAGCCGCGGUAAUACAGAGGGGUGCGAGCGUUAAUCGGGAUUUACUGGGCGUAAAGCGUGCGUAGGGCGGCUUUUUAAGUCGGAUGUGAAAUCCCCGAGCUUAACUUGGGAAUUGCAUUCGAUACUGGGAAGCUAGAGUAUGGGAGAGGAUGGUAGAAUUCCAGGUGUAGCGGUGAAAUGCGUAGAGAUCUGGAGGAAUACCGAUGGCGAAAGGCACCAUCUGGCCUAAUACUGACGCUGAGGUACGAAAGCAUGGGGAGCAAACAGGAUUAGAUACCCUGGUAGUCAUGCCGUAAACGAUGUCUACUA